GACGAACGCUGGCGGCAUGCCUAACACAUGCAAGUCGAACGAGAAGUUCGGGUCUAGGGGCGCACGGGUACGUACCACGUGGGAACCUACACUUAGGUUCCGAAUACCUGCCUUAGAGAGAAGCUCAUAAAGCUUGAUCUAUUAGGACCAAGGAUUUCUCGCUUUUGGAUGGGGCCGCGUUGGUUUCGGCAGUUGGUAGGGUAAAAGCCUAUCAACGCGUCGUUCCAUAGCUGGUCGGGGACGAAGAUCAGCAACGCUGGGACUGAGACACGGCCCAGACUCCUACGGGACGGAGCGGUGUGGAAUAUUGUGCAAGGGGCGCUAGCCUGAUCCAGCAAUGCCGCGUGAGACAGGAAGGGCGUAGGGUUGUAAAGCUCUUUUAGCCGAGGUGAUAAUGACAGUAACGGGAGAAUAAGCUCCGGCUAACUCCGUG
rnacentral:rRNA from 1 species